UAUAAGUUUAAUCGUUUAUCGAGAAACCGCGAACGGCUCAUUACAAUGGCCAUUAUUUACUUGAUCUUGAUUGUCUAAAUGGAUAACUGUGGAAAAGCUAGAGCUAAUACAUGCACUAAAGCUUUGUCCUUACGGAAAAGCGCAUUUAUUAGAACAAAACCACGCGGCUUCGGCUGCUUCUUGUUGACUCAGAAUAACUUAGCUGACCGCAUGGCCUUGUGCCGGCGGCGUGUCUUUCAAGCGUCCACUUUAUCAACUUGACGGGAGCAUAAUCGACUCCCGUGGUGGUGACGGAUAACGGAGGAUCAGGGUUCGACUCCGGAGAAGGGGCCUGAGAAAUGGCCACUACGUCUAAGGAUGGCAGCAGGCGCGCAAAUUACCCACUCUCGGCUCSAGGAGGUAGUGACGAGAAAUAACGAGACUGUUCUCUUUGAGGCCGGUCAUCGGAAUGGGUACAAUUUAAACCCUUUAACGAGUAUCAAGCAGAGGGCAAGUCUGGUGCCAGCAGCCGCGGUAAUUCCAGCUCUGCAAAUACAUAGAAUUAUUGCUGCGGUUAGAAAGCUCAUAGUUGGAUUCGUAUCGAUACCUUGGAACCCUUCGGGUGUCUCUAGGUGUUAUCGAUUUAUCGUAAUGUUCGGUUUUGAGUCCUUAACAGGAUUCUUAACAGGCAUUGCAAGUUUACUUUGAACAAAUCAGAGUGCUUCAAACAGGCGUUUUCGCUUGAAUGAUCGUGCAUGGAAUAAUAGAAAAUGAUUUCGGUUCAGUUUUAUUGGUUUUACGGACUGAGAUAAUGGUUAACAGAGACAAACGGGGGCAUUUGUAUGGUCCCGUGAGAGGUGAAAUUCUUGGACCGUGGCCAGACAAACUACAGCGAAAGCAUUUGCCAAGAAUGUUUUUAUUAAUCAAGAACGAAAGUCAGAGGUUCGAAGGCGAUCAGAUACCGCCCUAGUUCUGACCGUAAACGAUGCCAACUAGCGAUCCGCCGAUGGAAAUUAUAUUGCCUUGGUGGGGAGCUUCCCGGAAACGAAAGUCUUCCGGUUCCGGGGGAAGUAUGGUUGCAAAGCUGAAACUUAAAGGAAUUGACGGAAGGGCACCACCAGGAGUGGAGCCUGCGGCUUAAUUUGACUCAACACGGGGAAACUCACCCGGCCCGGACACUGUGAGGAUUGACAGAUUGAUAGCUUUUUCAUGAUUCAGUGGAUGGUGGUGCAUGGCCGUUCUUAGUUCGUGGAGUGAUUUGUCUGGUUUAUUCCGAUAACGAGCGAGACUCUAACCUACUAAAUAGUUGGUACAUACUCUUAGUGUAUACAGCUUCUUAGAGGGAUUUGCGGCGUUCAGCCGAAAGAAAUUGAGCAAUAACAGGUCUGUGAUGCCCUUAGAUGUCCGGGGCUGCACGCGCGCUACACUGGCAAAAUCAACGUGCUUGUCCUACCCUGAAAGGGGCGGGUAAACCAUUGAAAAUUUGCCGUGAUUGGGAUCGGAAAUUGCAAUUAUUUUCCGUGAACGAGGAAUUCCAAGUAAGUGCGAGUCAUCAGCUCGCGUUGAUUACGUCCCUGCCCUUUGUACACACCGCCCGUCGCUGCCCGGGACUGAGCCAUUUCGAGAAAUUUGGGG
rnacentral:rRNA from 1 species